AACUCAUGGUGAGAGCAUCUUUGCAAAAUGUCCUUGUAUCUCUCCCAUGCAUCGUAGUGUGUUUCUAAAUCCAUCUGCACAAAAGAGGAGACAUUAUUACGUAAUUU
rnacentral:snoRNA from 1 species